UCUUCCGUGGCGCAAUCGGCAGCGCGUCUGACUGUUAGUUUGACAGAUAAUCAGGAGGUUACAAGUUCGAACCUUGUCGGGAGAG